rnacentral:rRNA from 1 species
GCUAACACAUGCAAGUCGAACGCCCUCUUCGGAGGGAGUGGCGCACGGGUGAGUAACGCGUGGGAACCUAGCCCUUGGUACGGAACAACCGCGGGAAACUGCGGCUAAUACCGUAUAUUCCCUGAGGGGGAAAGAUUUAUCGCCGAGGGAUGGGCCCGCGUCUGAUUAGCUGGUUGGUGAGGUAACGGCUCACCAAGGCUUCGAUCAGUAGCUGGUCUGAGAGGAUGAUCAGCCACACUGGGACUGAGACACGGCCCAGACUCCUACGGGAGGCAGCAGUGGGGAAUAUUGGACAAUGGGCGCAAGCCUGAUCCAGCCAUGCCGCGUGAGUGAAGAAGGCCCUAGGGUUGUAAAGCUCUUUCAACGGUGACGAUGAUGACGGUAGCCGUAGAAGAAGCCCCGGCUAACUCCGUGCCAGCAGCCGCGGUAAUACGGAGGGGGCAAGCGUUGUUCGGAAUUACUGGGCGUAAAGGGCGCGUAGGCGGUCUGUUGCGUCAGGUGUGAAAGCCCUGGGCUCAACCCGGGAGGUGCACUUGAUACGGGCAGACUUGAAUCCGAGAGAGGAUGGUGGAAUUCCCAGUGUAGAGGUGAAAUUCGUAG